GAUGAACGCUGGCGGCGUGCUUAACACAUGCAAGUCGAACGAUGAAGCCCAGCUUGCUGGGUGGAUUAGUGGCGAACGGGUGAGUAACACGUGAGUAACCUGCCCUUAACUCUGGGAUAAGCCUGGGAAACUGGGUCUAAUACCGGAUAGGAGCGUCCACCGCAUGGUGGAUGUUGGAAAGAUUUAUCGGUUUUGGAUGGACUCGCGGCCUAUCAGCUUGUUGGUGAGGUAAUGGCUCACCAAGGCGACGACGGGUAGCCGGCCUGAGAGGGUGACCGGCCACACUGGGACUGAGACACGGCCCAGACUCCUACGGGAGGCAGCAGUGGGGAAUAUUGCACAAUGGGCGCAAGCCUGAUGCAGCGACGCCGCGUGAGGGAUGACGGCCUUCGGGUUGUAAACCUCUUUCAGUAGGGAAGAAGCGAAAGUAACGGUACCUGCAGAAGAAGCACCGGCUAACUACGCG
rnacentral:rRNA from 1 species